CUUGGAAAGAGAACUUGCCUUAUUGGACAGUGGAUGGAAGAAUCAGGAUUACCACAUGGAAACCAAGUUUUCUGGCAAGAAGAAAAAGUAGUAGAACAAAAGUGCAUCCAACACUCUUGCUUAGACCUAACCUUUGGUUCCAGCACGCUGAGACCUAAGAUCAUCAAAACCCUUCCUUGACUU
rnacentral:lncRNA from 1 species